GCAGUGAAGAUCUGGAUAGCUCAGUUGGUUAGAGCUCAGUGCCGAUAAUGCCAAGGUUGCAGGUUCGAUUCCUGCAUGUGACAGCUGCA